GAUGAACGCUGGCGGCGUGCUUAACACAUGCAAGUCGAGCGAGUGAGUUCUUCGGAACGAUCUAGCGGCGGACGGGUGAGUAACACGUGGGCAACCUGCCUCAUAGAGGGGAAUAGCCUCCCGAAAGGGAGAUUAAUACCGCAUAAAAUUAUCGAGUGGCAUCACAUGAUAAUCAAAGGAGUAAUCCGCUAUGAGAUGGGCCCGCGGCGCAUUAGCUAGUUGGUGAGGUAACGGCUCACCAAGGCGACGAUGCGUAGCCGACCUGAGAGGGUGAUCGGCCACAUUGGGACUGAGACACGGCCCAGACUCCUACGGGAGGCAGCAGUGGGGAAUAUUGCACAAUGGGGGAAACCCUGAUGCAGCAACGCCGCGUGAGUGAUGAAGGUCUUCGGAUUGUAAAGCUCUGUCUUUGGGGACGAUAAUGACGGUACCCAAGGAGGAAGCCACGGCUAACUACGUGCCAGCAGCAGCCGCGG
rnacentral:rRNA from 1 species